rnacentral:rRNA from 1 species
UAAACGACUCUCGGCAACGGAUAUCUCGGCUCUCGCAUCGAUGAAGAACGUAGCGAAAUGCGAUACUUGGUGUGAAUUGCAGAAUCCCGUGAACCAUCGAGUCUUUGAACGCAAGUUGCGCCCGAGGCCUCGGCCGAGGGCACGUCUGCCUGGGUGUCACGCA